AUGAACGCUGGCGGCGUGCCUAAUACAUGCAAGUCGAGCGAACGGACGAGAAGCUUGCUUUUCUGAUGUUAGCGGCGGACGGGUGAGUAACACGUGGAUAACCUACCUAUAAGACUGGGAUAACUUCGGGAAACCGGAGCUAAUACCGGAUAAUAUUUUGAACCGCAUGGUUCAAAAGUGAAAGACGGUCUUGCUGUCACUUAUAGAUGGAUCCGCGCUGCAUUAGCUAGUUGGUAAGGUAACGGCUUACCAAGGCAACGAUGCAUAGCCGACCUGAGAGGGUGAUCGGCCACACUGGAACUGAGACACGGUCCAGACUCCUACGGGAGGCAGCAGUAGGGAAUCUUCCGCAAUGGGCGAAAGCCUGACGGAGCAACGCCGCGUGAGUGAUGAAGGUCUUCGGAUCGUAAAACUCUGUUAUUAGAGAAGAACAUAUGUGUAAGUAACUGUGCACAUCUUGACGGUGCCUAAUCAGAAAGCCACGGCUAACUACGUG
rnacentral:rRNA from 1 species